GAGCCUACGGGAGGCAGCAGUGGGGAAUAUUGGGCAAUGGACGCAAGUCUGACCCAGCAACGCCGCGUGAAGGAAGAAGGCUUUCGGGUUGUAAACUUCUUUUAAGGGGGAAGAGCAGAAGACGGUACCCCUUGAAUAAGCCACGGCUAACUACGUGCCAGCAGCCGCGGUAAUACGUAGGUGGCAAGCGUUAUCCGGAAUUAUUGGGCGUAAAGAGCGCGCAGGUGGUUAAUUAAGUCUGAUGU
rnacentral:rRNA from 1 species